UACGAAGGGGGCUAGCGUUGCUCGGAAUUACUGGGCGUAAAGCGCACGUAGGCGGCUUUCUAAGUCGGGGGUGAAAUCCUGGAGCUCAACUCCAGAACUGCCUUCGAUACUGGAGAGCUCGAGUCCGGGAGAGGUGAGUGGAACUGCGAGUGUAGAGGUGAAAUUCGUAGAUAUUCGCAAGAACACCAGUGGCGAGGGCGGCUCACUGGCCCGGUACUGACGCUGAGGUGCGAAAGCGUGGGGAGCAAACAGG
rnacentral:rRNA from 1 species